rnacentral:misc_RNA from 1 species
AAGUCGUAACAAGGUCUCCGUAGGUGAACCUGCGGAAGGAUCAUUACAAAAACAAAAUCCAAACCACACCACUGUGCUCUUUAUUGUGAGAAAAAUGUCUUUGUGUGUUGCUGUGUUGUUUGUUGGGGGAGAGGAGAAGAAUUUAUUUUUCCCCUUUCUUUCCUUCACACACACACACACACAAGCUUUUCCUCACAUGUCUUUGUUUUCAAUUUUUCAUUACUCCUUGUUUAACCAACAACGGAUUACAAUGUUAAAACUUGAAACAAACAAACAAAACAAAAUGACAACUUUUAACGGUGGAUCUCUUGGCUCGU